UAUCAUACGCAUUCGAUUUUGCACAAUGAUGACUAGGGAGAGUGGAAGUCUAUACAUCAAACUUUAACCGUAAUUAAAUGGGGAAGUUUUAGUUGUGAUUUUAGCAAUUUUUUUUUUCUUUUUACAGCCACACCAGGGGCCUAUGGAUGUUUUCAGGCCAGAGGUCAAACUGGAGCUGCAGCUGCAGCCUACAUCACAGCCAUGGCAACACCUGAUCCUUAUCCCACUGAGCCAGGCCGGGGAUUGAACCCACAUCCUCACAGAGACAGCGUCAGGUCCUUAACCCCCUGAGCCACAAUGGGAAUGCUAAUUUUGACAGUGUAUAAUGUACAGUUUUUAAAAUGAAUAUGCCCUGAUUAUAAAGGUAGGCAGACUGAAAUAGGGGAGCUGGUAUAAUAGUAAGUAGUUAGGGAAAUCCAUUAUAGAGAUUAUUUUGAAUAUAUAAUACACUGGAGGAUUAACAUCCAUUCAUCUAUCUUAAUCACUUAACCAUUAAUUCAUUCCACAAAUACAUAGUACCAUUUUACUUUGUGAUAAUCACUAUGGAGGCAACAGAUAGACAGUUUUGAGCAAAACAAACUUGGUCCCAGCCCCCAUGUCGUUUGGUGGGGAAAGGGAAAAUAAUCGAAGAAUCACCCAGUACUCGUAAAAUUACAAUCCGUGAUAAGUGCACCAAAAGAAAGAGACAGUGCUGUGAGGGUCCAUGACCGGAAUCCAAUAGUCAUAUGAAAGUUUCAAAUUAUUAUCUAGUCAAAAUAUACAGUGCCCGUGUAUAUGUUUUUUGUACUGUAUGCUGUCACCAGCAUCAACAUCUCAAAUGAAUAUUCCAAAACUGGGAAAAAUUAUAGGAGGAAAUAUCUAGAACUACCCAAAGAGACUGCAUAUUCUACGAAAGGAAUAGUGAAAAAAAAAAUUGAACCAUUGCAUAAUGAAUCCUGGAUAAUUGGCUGAAGUUCUGAACAGUGCAGCCCCCCUAGAUUUAGAGUUUUCCACCACACUCAUAUCAUUCACACAUUUUCCCCCAGAAUCUGAAAGAUAAAUCUGACAAGCUCUGGAUAAACACUGGCUAAGACUCUAUAGUUUCUGGGUAUGGGAAGGUGACAUGACUUAUUCUCUGUUAUCAUCGGGCCUCCUAUUAGCCAGCCUCGGCAAGGAGUCUGGAUAGAUCAACAUGUCAGGCUGGAGGCUGGGUGAUAAUUCAGACUGGGGUUGAGUUGAAGCCACCACUCAAACAAUUGGGAAAAUACAGCUGUGCACAGAUUCCUUUUAAACUGCAGGAAAAGUGAGAAGAGGAAUAGGGUUUUGAACUCUGGCAUAAUGAAUCAGAUCACACAAUUGGAGACUUGCCUACUCAGUUACACCCGUUAUAUUUUUUUCCUCUAGGUGAGAUGAAAAUGGUGCUGUUUUGGAAUGUGUUAGAAAUGGGAUUGCAAAGGAGGGUUCAGGCACAAUCAGGAAAAACAGAUCUCGGGCAAAGAUGUUUUGACACACAUGGUCGUUGCCUCGUUAGUCGUCCUCGCAUAGCUGCAGCACACGGAGAGAUCAUAUCCUGAGAAGGAGAGAGAAACGAGGUUUGGAGACCAGUGCUGACUUUUUGCCAGUGGAGACCUAUCUGUCCAAUAAUGUUUUAAUAAAUAAAGCAAAAUUUCAGAAGUUUUAUGGACUUUUCCCUUCACCAUCUGCAUUAGGCAGAAUUCUAGAAUAUCUCCCAAGAUCUCUAUGCCUGGGUGUGUGUGUCCAGCACAAUACCCUGAGUCAGGAAACAGCCACAUAGUAGAGCAGACCACCUGGUAGGGAACCUUGGGAGUUAAGGGCCUCAGUCCUACAACCACAAGGAACUGAAUUCUGUCAGCAGCCAGAGAGCCUAGAAAAGAAUCCCAGCCUCAGGUGAGACCCCAGCCCUGGCUGACAUCUAUCAGCAGGCUUGUGAGACCCUGAGCAGAAGAACUAGCUAAGACGCAUCAGACUCCCAACCUGAGGAAACGGAGAGACCACAAAUGUGUUGCUUUAAGCUGCUAAGAGGAAAAAAAACUGUUUUAGGCAGCAAAAGAAAAUAAUACACUAGAAGAACUAUCUCUUCUUCCACCAUCACAGCUGGAAUCAUGAUGUGUCCAAAGACUGCUGAUUUGCAUAUCGCAUACAUGCAAAAAUCAUCCCCAGUGAUACGUUUUAGCAAUUGAAGAUGAAUAUUCAAACUGAGAUCAUGUCUUUGGGUUGAGCCUCUCAACUAAAGACUAGGAAUAUUACAGAAGUCAGUGUCUAGAACUUACCUGAACCAUACUAAAGAUGACUCACGUUACAUAUUUCUUGUUUUUGCAUCCAUUGCACCUAGCUCUUCACUGCAUCUUCUUAUUUAACUGUCCCAACAUCCCUGUGAGCUGGGAGAGGUACUAUCCUAAUUUAUGGAUGACAAAACUGAAGUUUAGAAAAAGUUAGGUAACCUGCUCAGGGGCACACAGCUAGUAAGUGGUAGAGACCUGAUCUAAACCCACCACCCACCUGCUCCUCCAGCUCCACUUCUGAAUGAUAGGCUAUGCCUUUUACUCUCUCAUAACCAACCACCUGGAAAGUAAAUGCACCCUCUUAGCAAAUGUCUCUUGCCUAACUAAACAACAGAUGUUGACAAGUCUUUCUUUCUUUCUCUCUUUCUUUUUUUCCCUUCCAUGCCUUUUUUAGUGGGAUCCAGAUCUCUGGUUUCUUGAAGUGAUUUUGCUUAUGUUAUCACUUUGCAACAGGAUCACUUAGUUACAGUAAGAAAAAAAUAAACGAGCAGAAGAAACCCCACAGCUGGCACAGGAAUUUGCAACUAGAGAGGCUCUCAGUCUGCUGUCUGCUUUGCUCUCCUGGGCUCGGGUGAUUCCGCUGCUCAGCUCCAACAUUUUCCCAACUCCCUAGUUUCCUUACAAAGCAGAGUCAGGCACUGUAUCACUUUCCAACAUCAAUAAAGCAGGUCUCAUUUUCCUAAGUUGAUGAGGCCCUGAUAGAUCUGAUGACCUUUUGUUGGAAUGUCAUUUACAAGUAUGAUUAAAUUAUUCUCCAUGGCUGAACUGAUACCUACAGCAGAUAUAUCUUCCUCCAGAGGCAGCAGAAAAAUCUACUGCUUUUACCAUCUCAUGCACUGCAGAGCUCUUUUGUAGGCAUGUUACAGAUUUUCAGUUUGGGGCUGGAAAAGGUGACCCUGGUAAUGAUGACUUUUUUUUUCUAAUCUUUUUUAGCUGCUGUCAUUUUUCUCCAAUCUCAUUAACCAUAUCUCUGUGACUACACCUUAAAGGGAUAUGUAUUUAUUUAAACUAUUAGGUAGAAUGGAAUAAAUUUAAAGAAUGCUAGUCAGAUCUCUUGGAUUUCUACAUUUUCCUGGGAAGUAAGAAAUCUGACGUUUCUGGGCAUUGCUGUUAACUUGCUAUGGUAACUGUUGUAUAUGCAUUAUUUAAUUUAAUCUUGACAAGAACUUACGGAGUAUAAUCUUUGCAUUUAGCUUACAUUUUGAAGGCCUCCAAUGUGUUAAACACUGUUCAGAUAUCUUGGAAAGAGCAAGUCAUGUCCUCCUCCAAUUUAUCUCUAUAUGAGGAAACCGAGGCAGAGAUUAAGUAGGCUUUUCAGGUGUCCCUAUCUUGUGCCUGGAACAUAAUAGGUGGUCAAUAAAUGUUGAAAGUGUAGGAGUUCCAUCAUGGCUCAGCGGUUAACAAAUCCGACUAGUAUCCAUGAGGACGUGGGUUUGAUCCCUGGCCUUGCUCAGUGGGUUCAGGAUCCGGCCUUGCUGUGAGCUGUGGUGCAGGCUGCAGACAGGGCUCGGAUCCCGCAUUGCUGUGGCUGUGGCGUAGGCCAGCGGCUUCAGCUCCAAUUGGACCUCUAGCCUGGGAACCUCCACAUGCCAC
rnacentral:lncRNA from 1 species